rnacentral:lncRNA from 1 species
UUUUGACAUGAGUAAAUUCUAGAUUAGGUAUUUGGCAGUUAACUCAUCUGGAUAUAUGGGAACAGAAGUGCCAGACACGUAGAUAAUAUUUGGAGAACAGGAGCAGACUUGGAACAUGCUGAAUAGAGGACAAGGAAGUAUCAUCAGACAAACUUAAAGAUGAUCUGACAAUGUCAUUUUCCAAGGGACUGAUAGAAAGAUUGAGUAUCAUGGAAUCAGAACAGACAACAGAGAAUCAGAUUUGGACUGAAUCAGAAUAAACAGGCAAUGCAGACACUUGUUCUCUGAAUCACAAUCAAGACUCAGUGCUGGAACAGAUUUGAGGAAUGUAUACAAUUCUUAUCUAAACUGAUGUCUGAUAUUUAACCAGGUUAAAGUUUUUUCUUUUAUUUUAAUGUGAGAAAAAUUUAACAGAUAAUACAUUUUCCCUUCACUACUCAAUGUCUCAGUUAGAAUUUCAUCUGAAUUGCAUUUAUUCAAUUCAUUUUAUUUCUUGACUUGGUGGAUUUAAUAUUCCUGGCAUGCUUUGAAAACAUGGCUGAAUGCAUUU